rnacentral:rRNA from 1 species
ACGAGGCACUACGGUGCUGAAGUAACAAAUGCCCUGCUUCCAGGAAAAGCCUCUAAGCAUCAGGUAACAUUGAAUCGUACCCCAAACCGACACAGGUGGUCAGGUAGAGAAUACCAAGGCGCUUGAGAGAACUCGGGUGAAGGAACUAGGCAAAAUGGUGCCGUAACUUCGGGAGAAGGCACGCUGAUAUGUAGGUGAAGCCCCUGCGGGUGGAGCUGAAAUCAGUCGAAGAUACCAGCUGGCUGCAACUGUUUAUUAAAAACACAGCACUGUGCAAACACGAAAGUGGACGUAUACGGUGUGACGCCUGCCCGGUGCCGGAAGGUUAAUUGAUGGGGUUAUCCGUAAGGAGAAGCUCUUGAUCGAAGCCCCGGUAAACGGCGGCCGUAACUAUAACGGUCCUAAGGUAGCGAAAUUCCUUGUCGGGUAAGUUCCGACCUGCACGAAUGGCGUAAUGAUGGCCAGGCUGUCUCCACCCGAGACUCAGUGAAAUUGAACUCGCUGUGAAGAUGCAGUGUACCCGCGGCAAGACGGAAAGACCCCGUGAACCUUUACUAUAGCUUGACACUGAACAUUGAGCCUUGAUGUGUAGGAUAGGUGGGAGGCUUUGAAGCGUGGACGCCAGUCUGCGUGGAGCCAACCUUGAAAUACCACCCUUUAAUGUUUGAUGUUCUAACGUUGGCCCCUGACCGGGGUUGCGGACAGUGUCUGGUGGGUAGUUUGACUGGGGCGGUCUCCUCCCAAAGAGUAACGGAGGAGCACGAAGGUUAGCUAAUCCUGGUCGGACAUCAGGAGGUUAGUGCAAUGGCAUAAGCUAGCUUGACUGCGAGCGUGACGGCGCGAGCAGGUGCGAAAGCAGGUCAUAGUGAUCCGGUGGUUCUGAAUGGAAGGGCCAUCGCUCAACGGAUAAAAGGUACUCCGGGGAUAACAGGCUGAUACCGCCCAAGAGUUCAUAUCGACGGCGGUGUUUGGCACCUCGAUGUCGGCUCAUCACAUCCUGGGGCUGAAGUAGGUCCCAAGGGUAUGGCUGUUCGCCAUUUAAAGUGGUACGCGAGCUGGGUUUAGAACGUCGUGAGACAGUUCGGUCCCUAUCUGCCGUGGGCGCUGGAGAAUUGAGGGGGGCUGCUCCUAGUACGAGAGGACCGGAGUGGACGCAUCACUGGUGUUCGGGUUGUCAUGCCAAUGGCAUUGCCCGGUAGCUAAAUGCGGAAGAGAUAAGUGCUGAAAGCAUCUAAGCACGAAACUUGCCCCGAGAUGAGUUCUCCCUGACUCCUUGAGAGUCCUGAAGGAACGUUAAAGACGAUGACGUUGAUAGGUCGGGUGUGUAAGCGUAGCGAUACGUUGAGCUAACCGAUACUAAUGAACCGUGAGG